rnacentral:sRNA from 1 species
GUGAUGCAAGUACUCAAACAGAUGCCCUGAAACUGCCACCUUCCCAACCUCCAAGGCUUUUGAAGAACAAAGCUUUAUUAUGCAAACCCAUCACACAGACUAAAGCCACCUCUUGCAAACCACAUACCCAAAACAAAGAAUGCCAGACAGAAGACACUCCAAGUCAGCCCCAGAUUAUUGUGGUGCCAGUUCCCGUACCAGUGUUUGUUCCCGUACCUCUUCAUCUUUAUACUCAAUAUGCUCCAGUCCCAUUUGGAAUUCCAGUUCCAGUACUGAGUCCUUAAAGGAAACAGUUAUGAGAAAAUUGUGAGAAAUACAAGCAAAAACAACAAAAACAAAAUAUGCCUGUCCCUAUGCUUAUUCCAUCUUCAAUGGAUAGUGAAGAUAAAGUCACAGAGAGUAUUGAAGACAUUAAAGAAAAGCUUCC